AGCGACUGUGCAGGUUACCGCGGCUGCUGGCACGGAGUUAGCCGGUGCUUCUUCUGUGAGUGAUGUCCUUCCUGCCGGCUAUUAACCCGCAGGCCUUCUUCCUCACUGAAAGUGCUUUACAACCCGAAGGCCUUCUUCACACACGCGGCAUGGCUGGAUCAGGGUUGCCCCCAUUGUCCAAUAUUCCCCACUGCUGCCUCCCGUAGGAGUCUGGGCCGUGUCUCAUCCCAGUGUGGCUGAUCAUCCUCUCAGACCAGCUACGGAUCGUCGCCUUGGUGAGCCGUUACCU
rnacentral:rRNA from 1 species